CACGUAGGGUGCGAGCGUUGUCCGGAAUUAUUGGGCGUAAAGAGCUCGUAGGCGGUGUGUCGCGUCGGCCGUGAAAACCUGCAGCUUAACUGUGGGCUUGCGGUCGAUACGGGCAUCACUGGAGUUCGGCAGGGGAGACUGGAAUUCCUGGUGUAGCGGUGAAAUGCGCAGAUAUCAGGAGAAACACCGGUGGCGAAGGCGGGUCUCUGGGCCGAUACUGACGCUGAGGAGCGAAAGCGUGGGGGAGCGAACAGG
rnacentral:rRNA from 1 species